rnacentral:rRNA from 1 species
UUUAUAAAACUUGAAAAUUAUAUUAAAGUAAAAAAGCUUUAUUGAUUCAAAAAGACGACAAGACCCUAGAACCUUAUAAUUUAAAAUUUACUGGGGCGGUAUAAAUACAAACAAAUUAUUAAUCAAACAUAUUGAAUGAACAACCUAAUCUUACUAAAAAUAAAAAAAGGUACUCUAGGGAUAACAGCAUAAUCUUUCUCGAGAGCCCUUAUCUACAGAAAGGAUUUUGACCUCGAUGUUGAAUUGAGGUUUCUUUUUAAAGCAGCAUUUAUUAAAGAAGGUCUGUUCGACCUCUAACUCCUCACAUGAUCUGAGUUCAAACCGGA